UGAACGCUGGCGGCAUGCUUUACACAUGCAAGUCGGACGGCAGCACAGAGAAGCUUGCUUCUUGGGUGGCGAGUGGCGAACGGGUGAGUAACAUAUCGGAACGUACCGAGCAGUGGGGGAUAACUAAUCGAAAGAUUAGCUAAUACCGCAUAUUUUCUGAGGAAGAAAGCAGGGGACCAUUUGGCCUUGCGCUGUUUGAGCGGCCGAUAUCUGAUUAGCUAGUUGGUGGGGUAAAGGCCUACCAAGGCGACGAUCAGUAGCGGGUCUGAGAGGAUGACCCGCCACACUGGGACUGAGACACGGCCCAGACUCCUACGGGAGGCAGCAGUGGGGAAUUUUGGACAAUGGGCGCAAGCCUGAUCCAGCCAUGCCGCGUGUCUGAAGAAGGCCUUCGGGUUGUAAAGGACUUUUGUCAGGGAAGAAAAGGGCGGGGUUAAUACCCCUGUCUGAUAACGGUACCUGAAGAAUA
rnacentral:rRNA from 1 species